UACGUAGGGGGCAAGCGUUGUCCGGAUUUAUUGGGCGUAAAGAGCGUGUAGGCGGCCUGGUAGGUCAGCUGUGAAAACUCGAGGCUCAACCUCGAGACGUCGGUUGAAACCACCUGGCUAGAGUCCGGAAGAGGAGAGUGGAAUUCCCGGUGUAGCGGUGAAAUGCGCAGAUAUCAGGAAGAACACCUAUGGCGAAGGCAGCUCUCUGGGACGGUACUGACGCUGAGACGCGAAAGCGUGGGGAGCGAACAGG
rnacentral:rRNA from 1 species